AACGAACGCUGGCGGCAUGCCUAACACAUGCCAGUCGAACGAGACCUUCUGGUCUAGUUGCGCACGGGUGCGUAACGCGGGGGAACCUGCCCUUAGGUUCGGAAUCACUCCCCGAAAGGGGUGCUAAUACCGGAUACUGUCUUCGGCCCAAAGAUUUAUCGCCUUUGGAUGGGCCCGCGUUUGAUUAGUUAGUUGGUAGGGUAAAAGCCUACCAAGGCGACGAUCCAUAGCUGGUCUGCGAGGAUGAUAAGCCACACUGGGACUGAGACACGGCCCCGACUACUACGGGAGGCAGCAGGGGGGAAUAUUGGACAAUGGGCGAAAGCCUGAUCCAGCCAUGCCGCGUGAGUGAUGAAGGCCUUAGGGUUGUAAAGCUCUUUUACCCGGGAUGAUAAUGACAGUACCGGGAGAAUAAGCGCCGGCUAACUCCGUG
rnacentral:rRNA from 1 species